rnacentral:rRNA from 1 species
CAGUCGCCGCGGGAAAACGGAGGGUGCAAGCGUUAAUCGGAAUUACUGGGCGUAAAGCGUGCGUAGGCGGCUUCUUAAGUCGGAUGUGAAAUCCCUGAGCUUAACUUAGGAAUUGCAUUCGAUACUGGGAAGCUAGAGUAUGGGAGAGGAUGGUAGAAUUCCAGGUGUAGCGGUGAAAUGCGUAGAGAUCUGGAGGAAUACCGAUGGCGAAGGCAGCCAUCUGGCCUAAUACUGACGCUGAGGUACGAAAGCAUGGGGAGCAAACAGGAUUAGAUACCCCUGUAGUCCCUGUCUCUUAUAU